UGCAGUCGAGCGGACAGAUGGGAGCUUGCUCCCUGAUGUUAGCGGCGGACGGGUGAGUAACACGUGGGUAACCUGCCUGUAAGACUGGGAUAACUCCGGGAAACCGGGGCUAAUACCGGAUGCUUGAUUGAACCGCAUGGUUCAAUUAUAAAAGGUGGCUUUUAGCUACCACUUACAGAUGGACCCGCGGCGCAUUAGCUAGUUGGUGAGGUAACGGCUCACCAAGGCAACGAUGCGUAGCCGACCUGAGAGGGUGAUCGGCCACACUGGGACUGAGACACGGCCCAGACUCCUACGGGAGGCAGCAGUAGGGAAUCUUCCGCAAUGGACGAAAGUCUGACGGAGCAACGCCGCGUGAGUGAUGAAGGUUUUCGGAUCGUAAAACUCUGUUGUUAGGGAAGAACAAGUACCGUUCGAAUAGGGCGGUACCUUGACGGUACCUAACCAGAAAGCCACGGCUAACUACGUGCCAGCAGCCGCGGUAAUACGUAGGUGGCAAGCGUUGUCCGGAAUUAUUGGGCGUAAAGCGCGCGCAGGCGGUUUCUUAAGUCUGAUGUGAAAGCCCCCGGCUCAACCGGGGAGGGUCAUUGGAAACUGGGGAACUUG
rnacentral:rRNA from 1 species